rnacentral:rRNA from 1 species
CUCAGAACGAACGCUGGCGGCAUGCUUAUCACAUGCAAGUCGAACGGGCGCCUUCGGGCGUUAGUGGCGCACGGGUGAGUAACGCGUGGGAACCUGUCAUGAAGUGGGGAACAACCACUGGAAACGGUGGCUAAUACCGCAUACGCCCUGAGGGCAAAGGCUUCGGCCGCUUUGUGAGGGGCCCGCGUCCGAUUAGCUAGUUGGUGGGGUAACGGCCUACCAAGGCUACGAUCGGUAGCUGGUCUGAGAGGAUGAUCAGCCACACUGGGACUGAGACACGGCCCAGACUCCUACGGGAGGCAGCAGUGGGGAAUAUUGGACAAUGGGCGAAAGCCUGAUCCAGCAAUGCCGCGUGAGUGAAGAAGGCCUUAGGGUUGUAAAGCUCUUUCGCCUGCGACGAUGAUGACGGUAGCAGGAGAAGAAGCCCCGGCUAAUUCCGUG